rnacentral:rRNA from 1 species
AGCAAUCAUACUGUGAAACUGCGAAUGGCUCAUUAAAUCAGUUAUCGUUUAUUUGAUAGUACCUUUACCUGGAUAACCGUGGUAAUUCUAGAGCUAAUACAUGCUAAAAAUCCCGACUUCGGAAGGGAUGUAUUUAUUAGAUAAAAAACCAAUGCCCUUCGGGGCUCCUUGGUGAUUCAUGAUAACUUAACGAAUCGCAUGGCCUUGCGCCGGCGAUGGUUCAUUCAAAUUUCUGCCCUAUCAACUUUCGAUGGUAGGAUAGUGGCCUACCAUGGUCUCAACGGGUAACGGGGAAUUAGGGUUCUAUUCCGGAGAGGGAGCCUGAGAAACGGCUACCACAUCCAAGGAAGGCAGCAGGCGCGCAAAUUACCCAAUCCCAAUUCGGGGAGGUAGUGACAAUAAAUACUGAUACAGGGCUCUUUUGGGUCUUGUAAUUGGAAUGAGUACAAUCUAAAUCCCUUAACGAGGAACAAUUGGAGGGCAAGUCUGGUGCCAGCAGCCGCGGUAAUUCCAGCUCCAAUAGCGUAUAUUAAAGUUGUUGCCGUUAAAAAGCUCGUAGUUGAACCUUGGGCCUGGCUGAUCUGUCCUCCUAAUCGAGCGCACGGAUUCGGUCGGGCCUUUCCUUCUGGGGAGCCCGAUGCCCUUCACUGGGCGUCGUGGGGAACCAGGACUUUUACCUUGAAAAAAUUAGAGUGUUCAAAGCAGGCCUUUGCUCGAAUACAUUAGCAUGGAAUAAUAGAAUAGGACAGAGGUUCUAUUUUGUUGGUUUCUAGGACCGCUGUAAUGAUUAAUAGGGAUAGUCGGGGGCGUCCGUAUUCAAUUGUCAGAGGUGAAAUUCUUGGAUUUAUUGAAGACGAACUACUGCGAAAGCAUUCGCCAAGGAUGUUUUCAUUAAUCAGUGAACGAAAGUUAGGGGAUCGAAGACGAUCAGAUACCGUCGUAGUCUUAACCAUAAACUAUGCCGACUAGGGAUCGGACGGUGGUUUUUUAUUGCCCCGUUCGGCACCUUACGAGAAAUCAAAGUGUUUGGGCUCGGG